GUACCGUGAGGGAAAGGUGAAAAGUACCCCGAUAAGGGGAGUGAAAUAGAACCUGAAACCGAAUGCUUACAAGCAGUUGGAGGGCCCAUGUGGCCUGACAGCGUACCUUUUGUAUAAUGGGUCAUCGACUUGGUCUAUCUAGCAAGCUUAAGCCGUUAGGUGUAGGCGUAGCGAAAGCGAGUCUUAAUAGGGCGCCUAGUUUGUUGCAUUAGACCCGAAACCGAGUGAUCUAGCCAUGAGCAGGUUGAAGGUUGGGUAACACCAACUGGAGGACCGAACCCACAUCCGUUGAAAAGGAUCGGGAUGAGCUGUGCCUAGGGGUGAAAGGCCAAUCAAACUCGGAGAUAGCUGGUUCUCUGCGAAAUCUAUUUAGGUAGAGCGUCAUCCGAAUACCCCCGGGGGUAGAGCACUGGAUGGGUAAUGGGGCCCCACAGGCUUACUGAUCCUAACCAAACUCCGAAUACCGAGGAGUACUAGUCGGCAGACACACGGCGGGUGCUAACGUCCGUCGUGAAAAGGGAAACAACCCUGACCUCCAGCUAAGGUCCCCAAGUCAUGGCUAAGUGGGAAAGGAUGUGAGACUCCCAAAACAACCAGGAUGUUGGCUUAGAAGCAGCCAUCAUUUAAAGAAAGCGUAACAGCUCACUGGUCUAAAUAAGUUGUCCUGCGGCGAAGAUGUAACGGGGCUCAAGCCAUGAGCCGAAGCUUAGGAUGCACAUAGUGCAUGGUAGCAGAGCGUAGUG
rnacentral:rRNA from 1 species